UGGGGGAUAUUGCACAAUGGGCGAAAGCCUGAUGCAGCGACGCCGCGUGGGGGAUGAAGGCCUUCGGGUUGUAAACUUCUUUUGCUCUGAACAAGGCAUGCCUUUGGGGUGUGUUGAGUGUAGGGGUUGAUUAGCGCCGGCUAACUACGUGCCAGCAGCCGCGGUAAUACGUAGGGCGCGAGCGUUGUCCGGAAUUAUUGGGCGUAAAGGGCUUGUAGGUGGCUGGUUGCGUCUGUCGUGAAAGCUCAUGGCUUAACUGUGGGUUUGCGGUGGGUACGGGCUGGCUUGAGUUCAGUAGGGGAGGGUGGAAUUCCUGGUGUAGCGGUGGAAUGCGCCGAUAUCAGGAGGAAUACCGGUGGCGAAGGCGGGUCUCUGGGCUGUUACUGACGAUGAGGAGCAAAAGCGUGGGGAGCGAACAGG
rnacentral:rRNA from 1 species